GCCGGAGUGGCGAAAUCGGUAGACGCAGCGGAUUCAAAAUCCGCCGCCCUCAACAGGCGUGCCGGUUCGAGUCCGGCCUCCGGCACCA
rnacentral:tRNA from 2 species